rnacentral:rRNA from 1 species
UACAGAGGGUGCAAGCGUUAAUCGGAAUUACUGGGCGUAAAGCGCACGUAGGUGGCUUGAUAAGUUGGGUGUGAAAUCCCCGGGCUUAACCUGGGAAUUGCAUUCAAGACUGUCUUGCUAGAGUGUGGAAGAGGGAAGCGGAAUUCCUGGUGUAGCGGUGAAAUGCGCAGAUAUCAGGAGGAACACCGGUGGCGAAGGCGGAUCUCUGGGCCGUAACUGACGCUGAGGAGCGAAAGCAUGGGGAGCGAACAGG